rfam:Marinilactibacillus sp. 15R, complete genome.
UCCGCAAUAGCUCAGUUGGUAGAGCGCGCGACUGUUAAUCGCGUUGUCGCAGGUUCGAGCCCUGCUUGCGGAG